UGUAGCCAUGAAUAGCAACCGGAAGUAGUCUGUAAUUAAUAAUGGCGAGCAAAUUGUCAACAUUCGCGAGAUCGCUUCAUAAAAUGCAAAUUAGAAGCAGAGGAAAUGGAAAUGCACCCGUUUUGCUUCAGCAGUUACGAUCUAUGUCAUCAGUUACAACCUCCAUACCCGGUCCCAUUCCUGCCGCUCCUAUGAGAAAGUCGUUAAGCAUACCCAAAGUAUCGAUCUGCAUAUUUAUCGGUGUCUUCACGGGACAGCACGCAGCCAAGAGGCUUGCUGCAUUCUUGGAGGAAACAGAAAUGUUCGUUCCAGAAGACGAGGACGAUUAAUUGUUUAAAUGAUCCAUGUAUUGAGCCCAGAGGUACAUGUAGUGAUUCCAAUUAAGCCGAAAACCAACCACUGAGAUCCAGAAGUGUCACCUAUAAGAAAACAGUUACCAAGAUGAACUCAGUUACCUGAAAAGGCAUGGAUUGAAUAUAACGUGGCAUGGGCAAAUAAUUUUGAUUAUAUUUGAAGUAAUGCUAAGAUGUAUAGUAAUAAAUGAUUUGUGUCAUUGUUU